rnacentral:rRNA from 1 species
AUUGAACGCUGGCGGCAGGCCUAACACAUGCAAGUCGAGCGAGCGGCGGACGGGUGAGUAAUGUCUGGGAAACUGCCUGAUGGAGGGGGAUAACUACUGGAAACGGUAGCUAAUACCGCAUACCAUCAGAUGUGCCCAGAUGGGAUUUGCUAGUAGGUGGGGUAACGGCUCACCUAGGCGACGAUCCCGAGCUGGUCUGAGAGGAUGACCAGCCACACUGGAACUGCGCCACGGUCCAGAAUGCUACGUGAGGCAGCAGUGGGGAAUAUUGCACAAUGGGCGCAAGCCGGAUGCGGCCAUGCCGCGGGUGUGAAGAAGGCCUUCGGGUUGUAAAGCACUUUCAGCGGGGAGGCGUUACCCGCAGAAGAAGCACCGGCUAACUCCGUGCCAGCAGCCGCGGUAAUUC